rnacentral:rRNA from 1 species
UACGUAGGUGGCAAGCGUUGUCCGGAUUUACUGGGCGUAAAGAGCGCGCAGGCGGUCGUUCAAGUCGCGUGUGAAAGCCCCCGGCUCAACUGGGGAGGGUCACGCGAUACUGAUCGACUCGAAGGCAGGAGAGGGAAGUGGAAUUCCCGGUGUAGUGGUGAAAUGCGUAGAUAUCGGGAGGAACACCUGUGGCGAAGGCGGCCCCCUGGUUGGAUACUGACGCUGAGACGCGAAAGCGUGGGGAGCAAACAGG